GCCGGGCACGGUGGCUCAUGCCUGUAAUCCCAGCACUUUGGGAGGCUGAGGCGGGUGGAUCACUUGAGGUCAGGAGUUCAAGACCAGCCUGGCCAACAUGGUGAAACCCCGUCUCUA
rnacentral:SRP_RNA from 1 species